CUGAUCGUCAACGACGAGCUCGUCUCCUACAUCCUGACCGGCCUCGAAGAUGACGACUACAACCCCAUCGUGACCGCCCUGAUUGCACGGGCGGAACCGGUGGCUGUGGGUGGGGUGUAUGCCCAACUGCUCAGCUUCAAGC
rnacentral:snoRNA from 1 species